GAUGAACGCCGGCGGUGUGCCUAAUACAUGCAAGUCGUACGCACUGGCCCAACUGAUUGAUGGUGCUUGCACCUGAUUGAUGAUGGAUCACCAGUGAGUGGCGGACGGGUGAGUAACACGUAGGUAACCUGCCCCGGAGCGGGGGAUAACAUUUGGAAACAGAUGCUAAUACCGCAUAACAAUAAAAGCCGCAUGGCUUUUAUUUGAAAGAUGGCUUUGGCUAUCACUCUGGGAUGGACCUGCGGUGCAUUAGCUAGUUGGUAAGGUAACGGCUUACCAAGGCGAUGAUGCAUAGCCGAGUUGAGAGACUGAUCGGCCACAAUGGAACUGAGACACGGUCCAU
rnacentral:rRNA from 1 species